rnacentral:rRNA from 1 species
AUUGAACGCCAGCGGAAUGCUUUACACAUGCAAGUCGAACGGCAGCACGGAGAGCUUGCUCUCUGGUGGCGAGUGGCGAACGGGUGAGUAAUGUAUCGGAACAUACCCAGUAGCGGGGGAUAACUACUCGAAAGAGUGGCUAAUACCGCAUACGCACUACGGGGGAAAGGGGGGGAGCUUAGGACCUCUCACUAUUGGACUGGCCGAUAUCGGAUUAGCUAGUUGGUGGGGUAAAGGCUCACCAAGGCGACGAUCCGUAGCUGGUUUGAGAGGACGACCAGCCACACUGGGACUGAGACACGGCCCAGACUCCUACGGGAGGCAGCAGUGGGGAAUUUUGGACAAUGGGCGAAAGCCUGAUCCAGCCAUUCCGCGUGUGUGAUGAAGGCCUUCGGGUUGUAAAGCACUUUUGUCAGGGAAGAAACAGCGAUGAAUAAUACUUGUCGCGAAUGACGGUACCUGAAGAAUAAGCACCGGCUAACUACGUGCCAGCAGCCGCCGUAA